rnacentral:rRNA from 1 species
AGAGUUUGAUCCUGGCUCAGGACGAACGCUGGCGGCAUGCCUAACACAUGCAAGUCGAACGAGAAAGUUCCUUCGGGAGCAAUUAAAGUGGCGCACGGGUGAGUAACGCGUAGACAAUCUGCCCUUCAGUCUGGGACAACUUUUCGAAAGGAGAGCUAAUACCGGAUAACAAUGCAUGACACAAGUUGUAUAUUUGAAAGCUUUAUGUGCUGAAGGAGGGGUCUGCGUCCCAUUAGCUGGUUGGUAAGGUAAAGGCUUACCAAGGCAACGAUGGGUAGCGGGUUUGAGAGGACGAUCCGCCACACUGGAACUGAGACACGGUCCAGACUCCUACGGGAGGCAGCAGUGGGGAAUAUUGCACAAUGGAGGAAACUCUGAUGCAGCAAUGUCGCGUGAGUGAAGAAGGCCCUUGGGUCGUAAAGCUCUUUUAUGGGGGAAGAUGAUGACGGUACCCCAAGAAUAAGCACCGGCUAACUAUGUGCCAGCAGCCGCGGUAAUACAUAGGGUGCGAGCGUUGUUCGGAAUUACUGGGCGUAAAGGGCGCGCAGGCGGAAUAGUAAGUCGGAGGUGAAAGCCCGGGGCUCAACCCCGGAGGGUCUUUCGAAACUACUAAUCUAGAGAGGGUCAGGGGCCGGCAGA